rnacentral:rRNA from 1 species
UACGAAGGGUGCAAGCGUUACUCGGAAUUACUGGGCGUAAAGGGUGCGUAGGUGGUUCUUUAAGUCUGCUGUGAAAGCCCCGGGCUCAACCUGGGAAUGGCAGUGGAUACUGGAGAGCUAGAGUGCGGUAGAGGGUAGUGGAAUUCCCGGUGUAGCAGUGAAAUGCGUAGAGAUCGGGAGGAACACCAGUGGCGAAGGCGAGUCUCUGGACAAUUCCUGACGCUGAGGCACGAAAGCCAGGGGAGCAAACGGG